ACACGAGAGCGACGGCUGAGUAACGCGUGGGAACGCACCCUACACUGAGGGAUAAGAUACCGAAAGGUGUUCUAAUACCGCAUACGGUCUUCGGAUUAAAGUCUUCGGACGGUGAAGGAGCGGCCCGCGUCAUAUUAGGUAGUUGGUGGGGGUAAUGGCCUACCAAGCCGAUGAUGUGUAGCUGGUCUGAGAGGAUGAUCAGCCAGACUGGAACUGAGAACGGUCCAGACUCCUACGGGAGGCAGCAGGG
rnacentral:rRNA from 1 species